rnacentral:tRNA from 1 species
GGGGUGAAGCUCAGUGGUAGAGCACUUGCCUAGCAUGUACGAGGCCCUGGGUUUGAUCCUCAGCACCGCA